rnacentral:rRNA from 1 species
CAAUAGCGUAUAUUUAAGUUGUUGCAGUUAAAAAGCUCGUAGUUGGAUUUCGGUUAAGAGCGACCGGUCCGCCGUUUGGUGUGCACUGGUUGGUUUUAACUUCCUGUAGAGGACGUGCUCUGGGUUUAACGACCUGGACUCGGAGUCUACGUGGUUACUUUGAAAAAAUUAGAGUGUUCAAAGCGGGCUUACGCUUGAAUAUUUCAGCAUGGAAUAACACUAUAGGACUCCUGUCCUAUUUCGUUGGUCUCGGGACGGGAGUAAUGAUCAAGAGGAACAGUUGGGGGCAUUCGUAUUUCAUUGUCAGAGGUGAAAUUCUUGGAUUUAUGAAAGACGAACUUCUGCGAAAGCAUUUGCCAAGGAUGUUUUCAUUAA